GCUCAGGACGAACGCUGGCGGCGUGCCUAAUACAUGCAAGUCGAACGCUUUUUCUUUCACCGGAGCUUGCUCCACCGAAAGAAAAAGAGUGGCGAACGGGUGAGUAACACGUGGGUAACCUGCCCAUCAGAAGGGGAUAACACUUGGAAACAGGUGCUAAUACCGUAUAACACUAUUUUCCGCAUGGAAGAAAGUUGAAAGGCGCUUUUGCGUCACUGAUGGAUGGACCCGCGGUGCAUUAGCUAGUUGGUGAGGUAACGGCUCACCAAGGCAACGAUGCAUAGCCGACCUGAGAGGGUGAUCGGCCACACUGGGACUGAGACACGGCCCAGACUCCUACGGGAGGCAGCAGUAGGGAAUCUUCGGCAAUGGACGAAAGUCUGACCGAGCAACGCCGCGUGAGUGAAGAAGGUUUUCGGAUCGUAAAACUCUGUUGUUAGAGAAGAACAAGGAUGAGAGUAAAAUGUUCAUCCCUUGACGGUAUCUAACCAGAAAGCCACGGCUAACUACGUGCCAG
rnacentral:rRNA from 1 species